rnacentral:rRNA from 1 species
AACGAACGCUGGCGGCAUGCCUAACACAUGCAAGUCGAACGAAACCUUCGGGUCUAGUGGCGCACGGGUGCGUAACGCGUGGGAACCUGCCCUUAGGUUCGGAAUAACUCCCCGAAAGGGGUGCUAAUACCGGAUAAUGUCUUCGGACCAAAGAUUUAUUGCCUUUGGAUGGGCCCGCGUUGGAUUAGCUAGUUGGUAGGGUAAAAGCAUACCAAGGCGACGAUCCAUAGCUGGUCUGAGAGGAUGAUCAGCCACACUGGGACUGAGACACGGCCCAGACUCCUACGGGAGGCAGCAGUGGGGAAUAUUGGACAAUGGGCGAAAGCCUGAUACAGCAAUGCCGCGUGAGUGAUGAAGGCCUUAGGGUUGUAAAGCUCUUUUACCCGGGAUGAUAAUGACAGUACCGGGAGAAUAAGCGCCGGCUAACUACGUG